rnacentral:rRNA from 1 species
AUUGAACGCUGGCGGCAGGCCUAACACAUGCAAGUCGAACGGUAACAGGAAACAGCUUGCUGUUUCGCUGACGAGUGGCGGACGGGUGAGUAAUGUCUGGGAAACUGCCUGAUGGAGGGGGAUAACUACUGGAAACGGUAGCUAAUACCGCAUAACGUCGCAAGACCAAAGAGGGGGACCUUCGGGCCUCUUGCCCUCAGAUGUGCCCAGAUGGGAUUAGCUAGUAGGUGGGGUAACGGCUCACCUAGGCGACGAUCCCUAGCUGGUCUGAGAGGAUGAGCAGCCACACUGGAACUGAGACACGGUCCAGACUCCUACGGGAGGCAGCAGUGGGGAAUAUUGCACAAUGGGCGCAAGCCUGAUGCAGCCAUGCCGCGUGUAUGAAGAAGGCCUUCGGGUUGUAAAGUACUUUCAGUGGGGAGGAAGGGAGUAAAGUUAAUACCUUUGCUCAUUGACGUUACCCGCAGAAGAAGCACCGGCUAACUCCGUG